GAAUAUGAAGUGAUUAAUUACAUUUAGUUUCGACCUAAAACUUGGUAUUUUUACCCUUAUUCU
rnacentral:tRNA from 1 species